rnacentral:rRNA from 1 species
CAGUAGCCGCGGUAAUACGGAGGGUGCAAGCGUUAAUCGGAAUUACUGGGCGUAAAGCGCACGCAGGCGGUCUGACAAGUCAGAUGUGAAAUCCCCGGGCUUAACCUGGGAACUGCAUUUGAAACUGUCAGGCUGGAGUCUUGUAGAGGGGGGUAGAAUUCCAGGUGUAGCGGUGAAUUGCGUAGAGAUCUGGAGGAAUACCGGUGGCGAAGGCGGCCCCCUGGACAAAGACUGACGCUCAGGUGCGAAAGCGUGGGGAGCAAACAGGAUUAGAUACCCCUGUAGUCCCUGUCUCUUAUAC